rnacentral:rRNA from 1 species
GACGAACGCUGGCGGCGUGCCUAAUACAUGCAAGUAGAACGCUGAAGGAGGAGCUUGCUUCUCCGGAUGAGUUGCGAACGGGUGAGUAACGCGUAGGUAACCUGCCUGGUAGCGGGGGAUAACUAUUGGAAACGAUAGCUAAUACCGCAUAAGAGUAGAUGUUGCAUGACAUUUGCUUAAAAGGUGCAAUUGCAUCACUACCAGAUGGACCUGCGUUGUAUUAGCUAGUUGGUGGGGUAACGGCUCACCGAGGCGACGAUACAUAGCCGACCUGAGAGGGUGAUCGGCCACACUGGGACUGAGACACGGCCCAGACUCCUACGGGAGGCAGCAGUAGGGAAUCUUCGGCAAUGGACGGAAGUCUGACCGAGCAACGCCGCGUGAGUGAAGAAGGUUUUCGGAUCGUAAAGCUCUGUUGUAAGAGAAGAACGAGUGUGAGAGUGGAAAGUUCACACUGUGACG